rnacentral:rRNA from 1 species
UCAGUUAUCGUUUAUUUGAUAGUACCUUACUACUUGGAUAACCGUGGUAAUUCUAGAGCUAAUACAUGCUAAAAACCCCAACUUCGGGAGGGGUGUAUUUAUUAGAUAAAAAACCAAUGCCCUUCGGGGCUCCUUGGUGAUUCAUGAUAACUUCUCAGAUCGCAUAGCCUUGAGCUGGCGACGGUUCAUUCAAAUUUCUGCCCUAUCAACUUUCGAUGGUAAGGUAGUGGCUUACCAUGGUUGCAACGGGUAACGGGGAAUUAGGGUUCGAUUCCGGAGAGGGAGCCUGAGAAACGGCUACCACAUCCAAGGAAGGCAGCAGGCGCGCAAAUUACCCAAUUCCGAUACGGAGAGGUAGUGACAAUAAAUACUGAUACAGGGCUCUUUUGGGUCUUGUAAUUGGAAUGAGUACAAUUUAAACCUCUUAACGAGGAACAAUUGGAGGGCAAGUCUGGUGCCAGCAGCCGCGGUAAUUCCAGCUCCAAUAGCGUAUAUUAAAGUUGUUGCAGUUAAAAAGCUCGUAGUUGAACCUUUGGCCUGGCUGGC